UUUUGUUUCACUGCAAAAGCUUUUAUGUCUGCAGCGUUUCAAUUCUUACUCACAGUGAAGAAUUUUUGUUGAAAAUUUGGUGCAAUGUAUAUGUUGGUGGAAGGUUCCUCUCUGUCACGUGACUUCAGGGCUUAGAAGCCUGCGGUGCAUUAAUAGAUUAAUUUCGAGGAGUUAUUACGGAGGAUUUGCAAAACGUAAACUCUAUCAUACAAUUAAGUCCUCUGCAUUCAUGUGACCUCGGUGUUUGGAAGCUCUGGUGCAUUGCAUAAACUAAAUUUAAGUUCACAUUUGUGGGUUCUCUGCUGCUCUCAAGUAAUCUCAGGGUUCAGAAGCUCUGGUGAAUUAUAUAGACCAAUUUUAAGGUUACAUUUGUCUGUACUUUGAACCAUGCAUUAUUUAGUUUCUACUUACCAUGAAUAAUUAUGGCUCAUUUUCUGGUGAAAUGUAAAUUCUGAUGUAACAUGAGGUCCUCCACUAUCGUAUGACCUUGGGGUGUAGAAAACCUGGUGCAUUGCAUGGAUUAAUUUUGAGGUUGCG